GGAUAACAGCUGGAAACGGCUGCUAAUACCGCAUAAGCGCACAGAGCUGCAUGGCUCGGUGUGAAAAACUCCGGUGGUAUGGGAUGGGCCCGCGUCUGAUUAGGCAGUUGGCGGGGUAACGGCCCACCAAACCGACGAUCAGUAGCCGGCCUGAGAGGGCGACCGGCCACAUUGGGACUGAGACACGGCCCAAACUCCUACGGGAGGCAGCAGUGGGGAAUAUUGCACAAUGGGGGAAACCCUGAUGCAGCGACGCCGCGUGAGCGAAGAAGUAUUUCGGUAUGUAAAGCUCUAUCAGCAGGGAAGAUAAUGACGGUACCCGACUAAGAAGCCCCGGCUAACUACGUGCCAGCAGCCGCGGUAAUACGUAGGGGGCAAGCGUUAUCCGGAUUUACUGGGUGUAAAGGGAGCGUAGACGGCAAGGCAAGUCUGAUGUGAAAACCCAGGGCUUAACCCUGGGACUGCAUUGGAAACUGUCUGGCUCGAGUGCCGGAGAGGUAAGCGGAAUUCCUAGUGUAGCGGUGAAAUGCGUAGAUAUUAGGAAGAACACCAGUGGCGAAGGCGGCUUACUGGACGGUAACUGACGUUGAGGCUCGAAAGCGUGGGGAGCAAACAGGAUUAGAUACCCUGGUAGUCCACGCCGUAAACGAUGAAAGCGAGGUGUUGGGGAGCAAAGCUCUUCGGUGCCGCCG
rnacentral:rRNA from 1 species